UUGGAGUAGUAUUAUUAAUGAAAUUUAACGGAUUUGGCGGCAAGAUAGCCCCUUAGAGGAACCUGCCCUGUAAACGAUGAGCCACGAGGUACUCUACUUUUUUUGGUAAUCAGUUUGUAUAUCGCUGUUGUCAGUUAGAUUCUUGAGAAUAUUUUCGUUCAUGAUAAGUUCAUUGACUUCAAGUAAAGGUGCAGCUUAUAAAAAAGAUAGAGGUGGGUUACAUUUAUAAGAAUAAAACGGAAAGGAUAGUUGAAAUAGUCCUUGAAGGUGGAUUUAACUGUAAAACUUAAAUAGGUUUGGUGAGAGCUC
rnacentral:rRNA from 1 species